rnacentral:tRNA from 1 species
AUUUAUAUAGUUUAAAUAAAACAUUAUAUUUUCAUUAUAAAAUUAAAUAUUUUAUAUUUUAUAAAUA